AGUGAACGCUGGCGGUAGGCCUAACACAUGCAAGUCGAACGGCAGCACAGUAAGAGCUUGCUCUGACGGGUGGCGAGUGGCGGACGGGUGAGGAAUACAUCGGAAUCUACUUUUUCGUGGGGGAUAACGUAGGGAAACUUACGCUAAUACAGCAUACGACCUACGGGUGAAAGCAGGGGAUCUUCGGACCUUGCGCGAUUGAAUGAGCCGAUGUCGGAUUAGCUAGUUGGCGGGGUAAAGGCCCACCAAGGCGACGAUCCGUAGCUGGUCUGAGAGGAUGAUCAGCCACACUGGAACUGAGACACGGUCCAGACUCCUACGGGAGGCAGCAGUGGGGAAUAUUGGACAAUGGGCGCAAGCCUGAUCCAGCCAUACCGCGUGGGUGAAGACGGCCUUCGGGUUGUAAAGCCCUUUUGUUGGGAAAGAAAAGCAGCAGGUUAAUACCCCGCUGUUCUGACGGUACCCAAAGAAUAAGCACCGGCUAACUUCGUG
rnacentral:rRNA from 1 species